GACGAACGCUGGCGGCGUGCCUAACACAUGCAAGUCGUACGGAGUUCACUUGGAAGCUUGCUUCCGAGUGAACUUAGUGGCGGACGGGUGAGUAACGCGUGAGCAACCUGCCUCACAGAGGGGGAUAACACACGGAAACGUGUGCUAAUACCGCAUAAUCCGAUGAAGCGGCAUCGCUUUAUCGGCAAAGGAGCAAUCCGCUGUGAGAUGGGCUCGCGUCCGAUUAGAUAGUUGGUGAGGUAACGGCUCACCAAGUCUACGAUCGGUAGCCGGACUGAGAGGUUGGACGGCCACAUUGGGACUGAGACACGGCCCAAACUCCUACGGGAGGCAGCAGUGAGGGAUAUUGCACAAUGGGCGAAAGCCUGAUGCAGCGACGCCGCGUGAGGGAUGACGGUCUUCGGAUUGUAAACCUCUGUCCUUGGUGAAGAAGAAAGUGACGGUAGCCAAGGAGGAAGCCACGGCUAACUACGUGCCAGCAGCCG
rnacentral:rRNA from 1 species